rnacentral:rRNA from 1 species
CACGAAAGUAAGUGAGCUAAUUAGUUAUAAUUUUUAGAUUUCUUUAUGUAGCAUAAUAAAAGCAAAUAACUAUUUAGGGGUGAUAGGCCUGUCAAACUUGCAGAUAUCUUGAUAUUUUGGAAAAACAUUUAGUGUUAAGAAAAUUAAGUAGUGAUAAGGCUAUUUAAUACCAUAAAUAAUAGCAUUAUUCUUUUUCCUGUUUUAAUCGUCAGAAUCUUACAUUUCCAAUUAUUAAUUUUAAAGAAUUUAUGUAUUAUACAAAAUUAUAUUAGAACAUGUUUUCAUAUCAAAAAUGUAACUAUAAGUAGUCUUUAAGUUAUUAAACAUGAACUCGGCAAAUUAGUCCUUCAACUGUUUAUCAAAAACAUAGCUAUAUGUUUUUAUAUAUAGUAAUUUCUGCUCAAUGAGGAAUUAAAUAGCCGCAGUACUCUGACUGUGCAAAGGUAGCGUAAUAAUUUGGCUUAUAAUUGAAGUCUGGUAUAAAUGAAAGUUUUGGGGGGCAACUUUAUUUUUAAUAUUUAUUGAAAUUACUUUAUAAGUGCAAAAUCUUAUUACUAAACGAUAGACGAGAAGACCCUUGAAAUUUUUAUAAAAUAGUAUAACUUUUUUUUGUUGGGGCAACAAAGUAACAAAGAAUUUACUUUAUUUAACAAGAAUAUAUAUAAGACAGAUUAAAUUACUCAAGGGAUAACAGCGUAAUUUAUAUUAGAGCUUGCGACCUCGAUGUUGGACUAGGAAACAAUUGUUUAGAA